CCCUAGCCCCGAUAAAAGUGGAAAUCCUUUAUAGCAGUAAAUCCUGAAAGGUUUACUGCUAUAAAGAUUGAAACGGAUAGCGGGAAAAAGC
rnacentral:sRNA from 1 species